rnacentral:misc_RNA from 1 species
AAGUCGUAACAAGGUUUCCGUAGGUGAACCUGCGGAAGGAUCAUUAAUUAUAUGUAAUUAUUAUGAUUAUAUUUAAUUAGUCACAUAAUUGAGAUGAUUAAUUUUUUAUUAAAUUAAUUUGAUCAAUUUAAUGACAUCCAAAUUUGACUUGGUUUCGCUUAAGUUUAAUUAAACGAAACUGUUAAUUCAGGGUUAAAAUCCUGAAUCAAAACUAAUGUUAAAAUUAUAAUUAAUCAAAAUUAUAUUCGAUCUAUUAAUUAAUUUUUAAUUAACUUAAUAACUAAUAACAAUGGAUCUCUUGGCACU